rnacentral:rRNA from 1 species
GUAGUCAUAUGCUUGUCCCAAAGAUUAAGCCAUGCAUGUCUAAGUAUAAGCAAUCUAUACGGUGAAACUGCGAAUGGCUCAUUAAAUCAGUUAUCGUUUAUUUGAUAGUACCUUACUACUUGGAUAACCGUGGUAAUUCUAGAGCUAAUACAUGCCAAAAACCCCGACUUCGGAAGGGGUGUAUUUAUUAGAUAAAAAACCAAUGCCCUUCGGGGCUCCUUGGUGAUUCAUAAUAACUUAACGAAUCGCAUGGCCUUGUGCCGGCGAUGGUUCAUUCAAAUUUCUGCCCUAUCAACUUUCGAUUGUAAGGUAGUGGCUUACAAUGGUUCCAACGGGUAACGGGGAAUG